AACGCAGCGAAUUGCGAUACGUAAUGUGAAUUGCAGAUUUUCAGUGAAUCAUCGAAUCUUUGAACGCACCUUGCGCUCCUUGGUAUUCCGAGGAGCAUGCCUGUUUGAGUGUCAUUAAAUUCUCAACCCCUCCAAUUCGUUUUGGACGUGGGCUUGGACUGUGGG
rnacentral:rRNA from 1 species